AGUAGAGAAACAAACCCGGGAGCGUCGCCGGCGUAAUAGAAAAACCUGAAGGCUGGGGAAUCUCUCAGCGCCUCGAAGUUCUAGAAGGUGUUUGGCGUCAGAAAAGAAACACCUGCGGACGACGAGGUGUCGCGGGCAAUGUCGGAAGAGACGAGGACAGCCCUCCCUAGGCCUGCAGCCGGCAGAUCUUCACUUCCGGGAGAGACCAGCCAGGUCCCCGCAGGCGGUGGUCCGAAGCUCCCUUCUGAGAGUACCUACUGUUGGUGAUCUGGAGUUACGGUAAGGACAGGCAGAGUCUGAUGAGGUCAGUUGUCGCUCCUGGACUGGAGGGCUCAUUGGAUUUGGUUUUUGCUGUGACGGAGACCCACGGAAAGCCAGCUUGUUAGACAAAACCUUAGCAGUAGCAAACCUCUUCUGCCUUUUAGGAGCAUGCCCAAGCGUAUUUGAUUGAUGAAUAAGUGGUUUUGAUAGAAGAGGGAAGCAGUUUUAUCAGUGUUUCUACCCAGUAAGUGUUAAAAAGCAAAUUUUAGUCUGGAGCAAGCAGCGUCUUUGUUCGAUACGUAUCCAUGGAGGCUGUUCGUGGAAUUUCACGAGUCACUUUUGUCCCAGGGCAGCACUGUUAUCCGUAGAUAUGUGUGUAACCGUACCGUAUCCUGGGCCCUGUGUUCUGGUCCGUUCAGUGAACUGUCUCCCUUAGGAGCUUUAAAUAAUGAGAUUCUGGCCCACAAAGAUGAUCAUAAACCCGUUGAAGGCAAAGAUGAAUUCCAAAAGAUACUCAAACUUGAUUUUGGCAGGGCCUUAGAACGUAAAUUCAGGUAAAGAAACUGAAACUUAAGUGAUUUGCUCAGAAUUGGUUGACUGGGGACAGAGCUGGCAUAGGACGCAAGGUCACUAAUUCAUAACUUUGGGAAAAUGGUUCUUCUUGCUACCUCCCACCUCCUCCUAAAAAAUCAGUAAUAUAUAUAUAUAUUUUAAAGUGGAAUUAAUUUUGAAAUUAACUUUCACUAAGACCAAUUAUGACGAAUUCAGUUCUGAUACAGUAUUUAUUAUGGACACUAGCAAAUUAUGAAGAUUCAGGGCGGGCAAUGUGGUGUAGCUGGUGAAGCCGCCACCUGAAGUGCCGGCAUCCCAUAUGGGCGCCGGUUAGAGUUCCGGCUGCUCCACUUCUGAUCCAGCUCUCUGCUGUGGCCUGGGAAAGCAGAAGAUGGCUCAAGUCCUUGGGCCCUUGCGCCCACAUGGGAGACCCGGAAGAAGCUCCUGGCUCUGGCUGUUGCAGCCACUUGGGGAGUGAACCAGCAGAUAGAAGACCUCUUUCUCUCUGCCUCUGCCUCUCUCUCUCUGUAACUCUGCCUUUCAAUUAAAUAAAUAAAUCUUUAAAAAAAAAAAAAAAAGAACUCUGAUUGACUUAUUUAUCUCAAACAACUUUUGGUAUAGUCCUAUUUUCAUCCAAACAGGAAAUGUAAACACAAUAAAUUAUUAUAACCAUGUUGUCUCUGUCUUUCUGUUUUGAGUGUCAAUAUAAAAAAUCAAUAUUAGCCCAUAUGGUAUUCUAAGGAUUAGUAGCAGAUUGCCUUAUUCGUGAUCUGAAUAAGAUAUUAAUUUAUGGUAUAUACAUACUUGGUUAAAAUAAUUUCACAGCCAUGUAUACUGAUCCCCUAGCUUUUUCCAGAUAGGGCUGAACUGGUCCACCAAGCAUCAAAAUAUCAUCCACUAACCAGGCAUAUUCUCCCUUUUCCUGGCCUGGCAAAGCCAUUGGCCCCUUCCCUUCGCCAAACAACAAAGCCAGUUAGUGCUGUAUCCCAUGUAUAGGACCAUUUUCUUGUCCCAGCUCUACCAAAUCAUCCUAGCAUUGAUUCUUUGCUGUCAAUGUCAAAUCUUCCGUCAUACCCUACUUUCUAAAAGAUCAGGUUAAAAUCUGAAAAUCUGCCACCCACAGUCUAAUGUAAUAGGCCCAUGCCUGGACCCCACUGUUCACCUUCUAAGUACAGGACCCCCCUUUCCUGAAACUUAAAACAUGGAAAUGUUCUUAAUAUAUUAGCCAUUCAGAUUCUGAAUAGGGACCUUCAAGCUACUUGUCCCUUUGUGUCAAAAGUUAAAAUUUAUAAUCCUUAGCCUCAGAGUGCUGUGAAGAAUAAUGGAGGCAUAGAUAGCUUUGACACCUCUGAAGAAGAGAAUAUGGAGAAUAAUUUUGGCAUAGCUUUGACACCUCUGAAGUACCUUUUGUAUGCCACUUCCUAGCACUAAGAACUUAAGGUAUUUGAUCUCAACCUCCGUAUCAUUCUGUGAAACAGAUAAAACACCUAAAUAGCCAACGUGCAAAUCAAGUGGGAUUAUGUAGUAUGUGCCUAGCAAAUAGAAAGCAUUCAGGAAAUGAUAGGUGUUGUUCUUAACAAUUACGGUAAUGAUAAAUGUAUACAAUGUUUAGUGUAAGAGCUCAGGGAAGCCUUGGCCUUGUGCUUUCCUCCCUGUCCUGUUCUUUGCUGAAGAAGACUUUUACAGAGAUGGCCGUAAGAUAGGGAUUUCCCAGUUAUCCUGCUGCCACCCGGAGAGGCAACUGGCAGGAAAUGAAUGUAAAGAGGGUACAGACUCAAUGGCAGGACUGGGGCUUCUGACCUUGAAGUAGACGAAAUUUCCCUACUGUGAGUAUCAACAUUGAGCGAACAUCUUGAGGUAUUAAGGGGCUUUAUUUAUUUCUUCCUGUUUUCAAAUCUGGCAUAAGGACAAGGGAAGAGGGAGGAAACUAGAAAACCAAGAAGUGCGUUUUUGUUUUACCAAUUCUCUAUCCUACUGCUCCAGAAGAACCUAUUUCAUGCUUUUCUGUGGCAGUGAAUGAAUUAGUCACAGUUUCUUCCCUGUGGAGCUGUUUUUUAAAUGCUGUAUCAUUUAUUUUAACUACAUUGAAAAAUGUGUUUAUUGUAUAAGGAAAAGAUUACCUGUAAUCCUGCCACUCAAAUUUUUUUUUUUUCCAGAAUUUACUUUUGACAUUUUGUGUAUCACUUUUUUCUGGAAAUCAAUUGUUAAAAAAGCUGGGAAUAAUAGUAUAUAUGUGCAUAUAUAUGGUUUUAUGGUAUUUUUUUCACUUUGUUAUGAACCUUUUCCCAUAUCGUUUAGACUUCAGUAUGUAAUUCCAUUAUGUAAAUGUGCAUCCUGGUAUUAUGUCUCCCAAUUCAGCCAACACUCUAUAGUCUUCAGCAUUAAAGUGCUUUCAGUUUCUUGAAAAGAUUCAAAGAUUUGAAUAGGCUGCUGCUUUCCCUAAAUGACAGAGUGCCCUGGGAAUGUCUUGAACCAAUGGCAAUGCUUGCUGGCUCCAGUCCUUCUUCCGGGAGACUACUAAAGUAGCCAGAAAUUCUUUUCUCAUGCCCUGGUAUUACAGAGCUAAGCAAGGUGAAGACAGUGGCUA